ACACACACACACACACACCGGGUCCACAGACUGGACCUAUGCAGAGUGUAUUCCCAGGCUCGGCGCUUGAGUUCCCUUCCUUUCCACGUAGACAGAUGGAUGAUGGUGAUCCGGGCCUUCCUAUCUGCCUGUACUAAACAUUAUCUAUAUUUAUAUUUGGAUAACAGUGUUUCAGCAUCGUUGGCCUUCUCCCUCCUGCUUACUUGAUGCCUCAAAAGCCCGUGGAAGGACGGAGUUCGCGGCAGGCGGAGGGUUAAGAGCCGAGCCAGCAGCUGCUUAAGGGGAGGGUCUGAAAACAGGAGAUCUGAAGUUCCGGUUCCACAUCCUUCUUAGAAGACACAAAGCCUUUUGUUUCUCAUCUCUAUUGCCCUCAAGAUUUGAUCAAGAGCCAACAGAGAGUAGGCUGAAGCUGAGGGGAGAGGAAUACCUAAGAGCGGUGCUGUUACUGCCCCAGCCCCCAACAUACAACGCAUGUGCGCCAUCCUCUGCGGCCUGGACCCGCGAGGGUAAGGGAGCGCUGGUCCCUGUGUUAUUUUCCAACCUCAGACCCUUCCAUCUCCUGCAGAGAGCUACCCUUCAAAUGGUAAAGAUGAGUUUUGCCAGUCUUCAUCUGAUGAUAUGACCGCACCAGGAUUUCAUCUCUGUGUAAGCCAAGUUUUAGCAUCCCACGCCCACUUGAACAUCACAUUUUCCCUGCUUCGUUAAGAAGGAUCUUGUGGUGACCGACAAGAUGCCUGUGUGGGUAAGAGUGCUUGCUGCACCGGGAUUAGGUCCUGAGUUCAAAUCCCCAGCACCUAUUUAAAAAGGCUAAGUGUGCCUGCAUCCUGUUGGCUAGUACUGGGAUGAGUGAAGCCUGGAGUGUUGUUGGGACUUGCUGGCCUCUGACCUAGCUCCAGAGUCACAGAGAAACCCUCCCUCAAGGAAAUAAAGCCAAGAGUGUCAGAAGAGAACACUCCUAUUCUCCUCUAGCUUCAAAGGACAAAAGCAACCCCAUAGACACAUGUGCAUCCACCAUACACAUGCCACAGACACAUACAGCAGAAAAGAAGGCUUUUAUGAACUUGGUAUGGUGACCCUUGCAUAUAAUACCAGGAUUUCGAGAGGCAGAGGAGGAGCAGUGGUUCUGGGUCAUCCUCAGCUGCAUAGCAAGCUCGAGGCUAUCCUGGUCGGUUGUCCAUGGGAUUCUGUACUCAAUAACAAAAGGGCUAUUGUGGUGUCUUGCCACAUUGACUCUUAGGACAACCCCAAAUUUUCCAGUGGGUCCUGAGUGAGCCAACAGGAAGGGGUGUGGCUGGGGCGGCGCAGAGGCUUCGAGCUGGCUUGCUUGGCUCAGCCCUGAGUAUUUAGAAUGUAAGACUUAAGCUCAAGGGCUCUGUUGCCAGAUUUCCUGCACCGGGUACCUUUGCCAAGUAACCCCAAGAUGACCUGAAGGAGGAGCUGUAGGGAGAUAGCUGCAGUGUGAAUGGGGCCUCAAGCUGACAUUUACACAGGGGCAUGGUGAGGAGGACGUAUGGGCUUCAUGUUUCCCUAGAUCUAGUGUUGUAAAAGAACAAAAACCGCCAUUUGCUUGCUGAAGAGCAAGCAUGUUGCCGAUGGAGGAGUUAAAAAUGUUACACCCGCUCUCGACAUUACCCCAUUACCCAGUGGCAUUUCAAAGCAACCACCAUAGCAGAAUAGUCACGUGAUGAUGAUAGGUGAACAGGCAUUCAUCCCGUUAAACCACACACACACACACACACACACACACACACACACGUGGGCAGGACUCCUAAACUCACUUUCCACAAGAGGUAAGACAAGCUCACUCAGGUUAAGGAAUCGAUUUCUUCACAUGCCCUGCCUUCUCAUUAGAUUUUGUGAGUUUAAAUUCCUUUGUUUUUUCACUUGAGUGUGUCACACAUUUGGCAGGUGGGGGGGGGGGGAGCCAAGGGUAACAAGAUUUUCUCCUGUAUAGAGAAGUGUCCAUAAGAGGGGAGAGGACUUGGAGGCUGUGGGCCUAGUCAGAGGUCUAUGUGGGAAUGAAGUCUUAGGAAGAGGGGAGUGGGAAGCUGGUUCUAUGAUAGUGUUAGUCAGCCCGUUACUAAAGUGCUGUCACAUCGAUUUCUCUGCUUCUGAAAGUAAAAUGGAAAAUGUAAGAGAUCUGAAAGCUGAAAGGGGUGGCAUGUGCUUACAUCCAACUUCCCAGCACUUGGGAGGCAGAGACAAGCAGAUUGUCAAGUUGGAGGCUAGCCUGGUCUACAGUCUACUCCCUGCAGGGUUUAGUGGCAGUCCCCACUGCCCUGCUGCUCUCCUUGGGAGAGGCCCUGAGGAUCUUGCAGCUUUUGAAAUCUCUUGAACUUAGUAAGCUCCUACAGCAUCCAAGUCCUGGAGAUUUCUGUAGCUGCCUGCCUUAUGAGUUUAUCCAAGGAUACAAUGUUUCCACGCCCCAGGUAACAGCUUCAGAGCACUGGGUCGGCGGCGGCACUUCCAGCCAGUCAGCCUCCGCUCUCUAUCAGCCUGCUGUUUCAUAGGGGGCGGGGAUGAACAUUAAUGACAGCAGGUCUGACUUCAUACACCUUAGCAUAUCCUGCAAAUGUAGCCCAGACCCUUCUUUGGGAGCUGAGUAUCAUCUUACACCUGAGGUCUCGGCUAAAAUGGACUCCUACAAGAAAGUCCAGCCACAUACAAACAAGCCAUUCCUUGUCUUGGAAAGUCUCUACUUCAGCUGCUGACUCUUCAAAACAGCCAUCACUUUGGCCUCCCAGGAUCAUCUGACUUAUCACUGAACUGAGUCCCUAGCCCCAUUUAUCAAACUGGGAGAAGCUUGCCCCUGGACAGCUCAAUGUAUGUAUGACAGUCACGCUAUGAGAGUGUCACAUUUGCUUUAUGGUUUUGGAGAAAGGGAUAAUGUAGCUAUUGUUAAUCACCGAGUUCAAGAGGAUAGAUCAGGAGUCAACAAACUCAGGAUCUUUGAUGCCAGACCCGCAGGCUAUAGGCUCUUGAAUAUCAUGUUUCUGGUUGGGUUCUUGUCUUGCCCUCGAUGGGUUACUAGGCCAAGGCUUCAAACAUUUACUGGAAACGUCUUCAAAUGCAAUUUAAAAAAAAAAGUUUUAC
ensembl:processed_transcript Gm12503 predicted gene 12503